GGCCGACUAGCUCAGCUGGUUAGAGCGUGGUGCUAAUAACGCCAAGGUCGUCGGUUCGAUCCCGGCGUUGGCCA
rnacentral:tRNA from 1 species